UGAGUAACACGUGAGUGACCUGCCUUUUAGACUGGAACAACUUACCGAAAGGUGAGCUAAUGCCGGAUGAGUUAUAUAAGUGCAUGUUUAUAUAGGAAAAGUUGGGGAGACCUGACGCUGAAAGAUGGACUCGCGUCCCAUUAGCUAGUUAGUAGGGUAAUGGCCUACCAAGGCGACGAUGGGUAGCCGGCCUGAGAGGGUGGCCGGCCACACUGGGACUGAGACACGGCCCAGACUCCUACGGGAGGCAGCAG
rnacentral:rRNA from 1 species